rnacentral:rRNA from 1 species
GACGAACGCUGGCGGCGUGCUUAACACAUGCAAGUCGAACGGAAAGGCCCUGCUUUUGUGGGGUGCUCGAGUGGCGAACGGGUGAGUAACACGUGAGUAACCUGCCCUUGACUUUGGGAUAACUUCAGGAAACUGGGGCUAAUACCGGAUAGGAGCUCCUGCUGCAUGGUGGAGGUUGGAAAGUUUCGGCGGUUGGGGAUGGACUCGCGGCUUAUCAGCUUGUUGGUGGGGUAGUGGCUUACCAAGGCUUUGACGGGUAGCCGGCCUGAGAGGGUGACCGGCCACAUUGGGACUGAGAUACGGCCCAGACUCCUACGGGAGGCAGCAGUGGGGAAUAUUGCACAAUGGGCGGAAGCCUGAUGCAGCAACGCCGCGUGCGGGAUGACGGCCUUCGGGUUGUAAUCCGCUUUCGCCUGUGACGAAGCGUGAGUGACGGUAAUGGGUAAAGAAGCACCGGCUAACUACGUG